UACGAGGGGGGCGAGCGUUGUUCGGAAUUAUUGGGCCUAAAGGGUGCGUAGGCGGUUUGGUAAGUCUUAUGUGAAAUCUACAGGCUCAACUUGUAGUCUGCAUGAGAAACUGCCGGGCUUGAGUAUGGGAGAGGUGAGUGGAAUUCCUGGUGUAGCGGUGAAAUGCGUAGAUAUCAGGAGGAACACCUGUGGCGAAAGCGGCUCACUGGACCAUAACUGACGCUGAUGCACGAAAGCUAGGGGAGCAAACAGG
rnacentral:rRNA from 1 species